rnacentral:rRNA from 1 species
CUACGGGAGGCUGCAGUAAGGAAUAUUGCGCAAUGGAGGCAACUCUGACGCAGCCAUGCCGCGUGCAGGAAGAAGGCCUUAUGGGUCGUAAACUGCUUUUAUUUAGGAAUAAACCCCCGAACGUGUUCGGGGCUGAAGGUACUAAACGAAUAAGCACCGGCUAACUCCGUGCCAGCAGCCGCGGUAAUACGGAGGGUGCAAGCGUUAUCCGGAUUUAUUGGGUUUAAAGGGUGCGCAGGCGGGCUAUUAAGUCAGUGGUGAAAUCCCGGGGCUCAACUCCGGAACUGCCAUUGAUACUGAUAGUCUUGAGUUUGGUUGAAGUGGGCGGAAUGUAGCAUGUAGCGGUGACAUGCAUAGAUAUGCUACAGAACACCAAUCGCGAAGGCAGCUCACUAAGCCAAAACUGACGCUCAUGCACGAAAGCGUGGGGAUCAAACAGGAUUAGAUACCCUCGUAGUC